AUGCAGUCGAGCGGAACGACACUAACAAUCCUUCGGGUGCGUUAAUGGGCGUCGAGCGGCGGACGGGUGAGUAAUGCCUAGGAAAUUGCCUUGAUGUGGGGGAUAACCAUUGGAAACGAUGGCUAAUACCGCAUAAUGCCUACGGGCCAAAGAGGGGGACCUUCGGGCCUCUCGCGUCAAGAUAUGCCUAGGUGGGAUUAGCUAGUUGGUGAGGUAAUGGCUCACCAAGGCGACGAUCCCUAGCUGGUCUGAGAGGAUGAUCAGCCACACUGGAACUGAGACACGGUCCAGACUCCUACGGGAGGCAGCAGUGGGGAAUAUUGCACAAUGGGCGAAAGCCUGAUGCAGCCAUGCCGCGUGUAUGAAGAAGGCCUUCGGGUUGUAAAGUACUUUCAGUUGUGAGGAAGGGGGUAGCGUUAAUAGCGCUAUCUCUUGACGUUAGCAACAGAAGAAGCACCGGCUAACUCCGUGCCAGCAGCCGCGGUAAUACGGAGGGUGCGAGCGUUAAUCGGAAUUACUGGGCGUAAAGCGCAUGCAGGUGGUUCAUUAAGUCAGAUGUGAAAGCCCGGGGCUCAACCUCGGAACUGCAUUUGAAACUGGUGAACUAGAGUACUGUAGAGGGGGGUAGAAUU
rnacentral:rRNA from 1 species